GAUGAAGAACGCAGCGAAAUGCGAUAAGUAAUGUGAAUUGCAGAAUCCAGUGAAUCAUCGAAUCUUUGAACGCACAUUGCGCCCGCCAGCAUUCUGGCGGGCAUGCCUGUUCGAGCGUCAUUUCAACCCUCGACCUCCCUUUGGGGAAGUCGGCGUUGGGGACCGGCAGCACACCGCCGGCCCUGAAAUGGAGUGGCGGCCCGUCCGCGGCGACCUCUGCGUAGUAAACCAACUCGCACCGGAACCCCGACGUGGCCACGCCGUAAAACACCCGACUUCUGAACGUUGACCUCGAAUCAGGUAGGACUACCCGCUGAACUUAAGCAUAUCAAUAAGCGGAGGA
rnacentral:misc_RNA from 1 species